GUCGCCAGGAUGCGCUGCACCGUCUGCAGGACGCUGGUCGCCAUGGUGACGUCGCCGCAGACGAACAUGUGACCUCGCUCCAGGCACAGCACGCGGUGCACCUCGGCGGCCAGCUCGGUCCGCAGGAUGUCCUGCACGACAGAGAAACUGAGAGAGGAGUGGCUCGGGAAGUGUUGCCAUGGAUAAAGCACUGGACUCUCAAGCAUGGCGUCCCAAGUUCAGUUUCCAGCAGCACAUGUACCAGAGUGAUGUCUGGUUCUUUCUCUGUUCCUACCUUUAUUGUUAAUGAAAUAAAUAAAAUUUUAAAAGAAAAAGAA